ACGAACGCUGGCGGCGUGCCUAAUACAUGCAAGUCGAACGGUCUUUUCUAUGGAAGCUUGCUUCCACUGAGAAGAUAGUGGCGAACGGGUGAGUAACACGUGGGUAACCUGCCCAUAAGAGGGGGAUAACAUCCGGAAACGGGUGCUAAUACCGCAUAGUUUUCUUGAUCGCAUGAUUGAGAAAGGAAAGACGGCCUUUGUGCUGUCGCUUAUGGAUGGACCCGCGGCGUAUUAGUUAGUUGGUGAGGUAACGGCUCACCAAGACGAUGAUACGUAGCCGACCUGAGAGGGUGAUCGGCCACAUUGGGACUGAGACACGGCCCAAACUCCUACGGGAGGCAGCAGUAGGGAAUCUUCCGCAAUGGACGAAAGUCUGACGGAGCAACGCCGCGUGAGUGAAGAAAGGUUUUCGGAUCGUAAAACUCUGUUGUCAGAGAAGAACAAGUUGGAGAGUAACUGCUCCAGCCUUGACGGUAUCUGACCAGAAAGCCACGGCUAACUACGUGCCAGCCGCUGC
rnacentral:rRNA from 1 species